rnacentral:rRNA from 1 species
GCUAUCUGCAGUCGAGGGGCAGCGCAGGUAGCAAUACUGGGCGGCGACCGGCAAACGGGUGCGGAACACGUACGUAACCUUCCUUUAAGUGGGAGAUAGCCCGAAGAAAUUCGGAUUAAUACCCCAUAAGAUUGUGGAGUGGCAUCACUCAGCAAUUAAAGAAAUUCGCUUAAAGAUGGGCGUGCGGCUGAUUAGGUAGUUGGUGAGGUAACGGCUCACCAAGCCAACGAUCAGUAACUGGCGUGAGAGCGCGACCAGUCACACGGGCACUGAGACACGGGCCCGACUCCUACGGGAGGCAGCAGUAAGGAAUAUUGGUCAAUGGACGCAAGUCUGAACCAGCCAUGCCGCGUGAAGGAUGAAGGUCCUCUGGAUUGUAAACUUCUUUUAUAUGGGAAGAAACCACUUUUUUCUAAAGGUGUUGACGGUACCAUAGGAAUAAGCACCGGCUAACUCCGUGCCAGCAGCCGCGGUAAUACGGAGGGUGCAAGCGUUAUCCGGAUUCACUGGGUUUAAAGGGUGCGUAGGCGGAUUAGUAAGUCCGUGGUGAAAUCUCCGAGCUUAACUCGGAAACUGCCGUGGAUACUAUUAAUCUUGAAUACUGUGGAGGUUAGCGGAAUAUGUCAUGUAGCGGUGAAAUGCAUAGAUAUGACAUAGAACACCAAUUGCGAAGGCAGCUGGCUACACAGAGAUUGACGCUGAGGCACGAAAGCGUGGGGAUCAAACAGGAUUAGAUACCCUGGUAGUCCACGCCCUAAACGAUGAUUACUCGACAUUUGCGAUAUACAGUAAGUGUCUGAGCGAAAGCAUUAAGUAAUCCACCUGGGAAGUACGACCGCAAGGUUGAAACU